CCCUGUAUUGGAAAGUGAUUGUGGGCUGCCUGUGUCCUGGACAUUGAUAUUGCAGGGGAGGAUACUGAAAGCCUUUCUCAGCGUGUGGAAGGUCUGUUUCUAUCCUUGUCAAUCCCUGGCGCUUUGGAAUA
ensembl:snoRNA Gm24031 small nucleolar RNA SNORA71